AAAUCGGAGAGAGAGAUAUAUAGACCUCAAUCUCCAAAUCCCCCGAAAUCCACAGUCGCAGUCUUCACCGUCGUCGAUUUCAGUUUCCGAUCAUCCAUGGCCGGCCAGAGAAACAGUUACGGCAAGCGCUCCCAUUCGCAGUCGGAUUACUCCGACAACGGCGGAGGCGGAGGAGGAAAGAGACGAAACAACGGCGAGGAGAGAGAGCAGUUCAUCAUCGACGCCGAGGACACAGUGUACCGCUACCUCUGCCCGGUGAAGAAAAUCGGGAGCAUAAUCGGAAGAGGCGGCGAGAUUGUGAAGCAGCUCAGGGUGGACACAAAGUCCAAGAUUCGGAUCGGCGAGACUGUGCCGGGCUCCGACGAGCGAGUUGUGACUAUCUACAGCGCCAGCGACGAGACGAACGGCUUUGAGGACAGUGGAGAGUUUGUAGCUCCGGCGCAGGAUGCUCUGUUUCGUGUUCAUGAUAGGGUUAUUGCUGAGGACACUCAUGCGGAGGAGGAGAUGGAUGCGACUCAUCAUGUCACGGCGAGGCUGCUGGUUCCGUCGGACCAGAUUGGCUGCAUUAUUGGGAAAGGAGGACAGAUUGUUCAGACUAUUCGGAGCGAAACUGGUGCGCAGAUUCGGAUACUUAAGGAUGAUCACUUGCCUGCCUGCGCAUUGAACUCCGAUGAGCUUGUGCAGGUAUCAGGUGAAGCCCCACUUGUGAAGAAGGCUCUUUUCCAAAUUGCAUCUCGCCUUCACGAUAAUCCAUCUCGGUCUCAGCAUUUGCUUACGUCUUCGGUGCCUAUGUAUGCUUCUGGUGGUUCCCUCAUGGGUCCAACUGGUGGAGGGCCUAUAGUUGGACUAGCUCCAAUGAUGGGUCCUUACGGAGGAGGUUAUAAAGGUGAUGCUGGAGACUGGUCACGGUCGUUGUACUCGGCUCCUAGAGAUGAAGGUUCUUCGAAAGAAUUCUCUCUUCGCAUGAUUUGUCCGACUGCCAAUAUUGGAAGUGUGAUUGGGAAGGGUGGUGUCAUCAUUAAUCAAAUCAGACAGGAAUCUGGGGCUGCUAUAAAAGUUGAUAGUUCACAGUCUGAAGGAGAUGAUACCUUAAUAACUGUUACUGCAAAGGAGUUCUUCGAAGAUCAAUACUCGUCGGUUGUAGAAGCAGCAGUACGUUUGCAACCCAGAUGCAGUGACAGAGUUGAAAGGGAUUCAGGAAUCCUCUCAUUUACAACCCGCAUACUUGUCCCAACCUCACGAAUUGGCUGCCUGAUUGGUAAAGGAGGAGCUAUUGUAACUGAGAUGAGGAGAAUAACUAAAGCUAAUAUCCGCAUACUUUCAAAAGAAAAUCUUCCCAAAAUUGCAUCUGAAGAUGAUGAAAUGGUGCAGAUUUCCGGGGAUCUUGAUAUUGCCAAGGAAGCUCUUAUACAUGUUGUGACGCGAUUGAGGGCAAACCUUUUCGACAGGGAAGGUGCAGUAUCAUCUUUCCUUCCAACAGUUCUGCCUUAUCUUCCUGUGGGUGGAGAUGCGGCCGAUGGUCCAAAUUAUGACAGUAGAGAUGGUAAACGACAUGGACGUUAUGGUGGUUAUGGUGGCUCAAGUGAUUUUGCAGCUAGUGACAGUUAUGGAAGUUAUGGGGGUUCUCAGGUGGGCGGUAGCGGCAGCCCCUAUGGAGCUUAUGGAGCUUAUUCUUCUGGACGUACUGGUAGUUCUGGGUAAAACUCCAAUGAUUCUCUAUCUACUUGGUUAUCUAGCCAGAACCCUGGUUCUCGGCGGAGAAACUAUGGUUACUAGAAUUGAUGGUACCAGCAGCUGAGUUCUAUGAAGCCUGAAGCUAGCCUACUGCCUGCCUAAACCGGAAGAUGAACCAGCAUAUGAUAUAGUCCUGGCCCACCUUGACGCAUCUACUUAAAAGGCCAAGAAACCAAAUAUACCAAGCUUUACUAUCUGUGUUCCCUAGAACCUAGUUAGCCAGCAUGCCUAUACGGCUGUUUUUCCCUGUACACUGCUAUGAUUAUGAAGCCAUAUUACUUCCGACUUUCCCUUGUGCUACAGUUUAUUCUUUUAUGCAUUCCAGCUAUGUGGUUUAUUACUGUGGUUUUAAUUCCUGUUUUGCUUAUGGAACUUAACCAUUUCCUUUGUGAUGUAGCAGAUUAUCGUAUCUGAUUGCAGCCAUUUAUGAUUUUAUUUUAGCAAAUUGUGGAAUCAACCUUAUUGAUUUGCAUUUCUCAUUAGUAAAAUACAUCUGCAUUGUGUUUUUUUUUUUUUUAAGACUACCAAUUUGGAAAUCUCAUUUAAUUGUGGUAAGACACACACACACAUCUAUGCAUAUCCAAGAGUAUCGAUUUGCCGUCCCUGCUUUCUGCUUUGCAGCCAUUUUUUUGUAAAUGCUUGGUUGUGCUUAUAACUUGUUUUCCUGAAUCUGUUUUGCUGCAUGCAUUUUUAAACUGAUUAUUAAGUGUUGAAGUUUUGAUCUUUUGAAAUAAGAUUCAUUCAAAAGAAUUAUAUGGGUGGCAGUGUUCAAAAAUCAAUUCUGGUCACUGAUCAUAGAUCACUUUUGAAGACAGCAUUUCUAGAAUGCAUGCAGCAUGCUACUGGAUAGAGCAAGUGUCUGUUUGAAGCUCAAUUCACUACAUGGCCUGUGGAUUGUGUAAUUGUAGAUGUGGAUCUGCCACAAUCUCCUGCUAUCUUCAUCUCUCAGCUUUAAAUGGGCACCUGGCUUAUCAUGUAAUCCAAAUAUGUUUUAAUCGAGUUUUGCUAGUCUUGUGCAUUUUUUUUGUUGAUAUCAAGUUCAAAGUCCUUAAAAGGUUGGUGCACCAGUUAGUUGAUGUACAGGCAAGUAUCGGAUUUUCUGAAUGGAUGCAUGAGACUUUGGUUCAGGAGUUCAAUUUGGGAACUUUGUGGGGUUUGUUUUAACUUGGAUCCAACUGGUAGGAUGAUUUAUCUACUGACAGGUUCUAUCAACGUUGUUGGACAUCUUUUGUUUGACGGUCGAUUUGAAGCAAACUUAUCCUCAUUUGGCUGAGUGCAUUGCUAAUGCUUUACCGGUUGUAUUUAUCGGGGGCAUUAGCUCUACCUUAGUUUGAUGGAA